rnacentral:rRNA from 1 species
UCCUACGGGAGGCAGCAGUGGGGAAUCUUAGACAAUGGGGGCAACCCUGAUCUAGCCAUGCCGCGUGAGUGAUGAAGGCCUUAGGGUCGUAAAGCUCUUUCGCCUGUGAUGAUAAUGACAGUAGCAGGUAAAGAAACCCCGGCUAACUCCGUGCCAGCAGCCGCGGUAAUACGGAGGGGGUUAGCGUUGUUCGGAAUUACUGGGCGUAAAGCGCGCGUAGGCGGAUUAGAAAGUUGGGGGUGAAAUCCCGGGGCUCAACCCCGGAACUGCCUCCAAAACUGCUAGUCUAGAGUUCGAGAGAGGUGAGUGGAAUUCCGAGUGUAGAGGUGAAAUUCGUAGAUACUCGGAGGAACACCUGUGGCGAAGGCGGCUCACUGACUCAAAAUCUGACUCUGAAG